GAUGAACGCUGGCGGCGUGCCUAAUACAUGCAAGUCGAGCGAACAGACGAGGAGCUUGCUCCUCUGACGUUAGCGGCGGACGGGUGAGUAACACGUGGAUAACCUACCUAUAAGACUGGGAUAACUUCGGGAAACCGGAGCUAAUACCGGAUAAUAUAUUGAACCGCGUGGUUCAAUAGUGAAAGACGGUUUUGCUGUCACUUAUAGAUGGAUCCGCGCCGCAUUAGCUAGUUGGUAAGGUAACGGCUUACCAAGGCAACGAUGCGUAGCCGACCUGAGAGGGUGAUCGGCCACACUGGAACUGAGACACGGUCCAGACUCCUACGGGAGGCAGCAGUAGGGAAUCUUCCGCAAUGGGCGAUAGCCUGACGGAGCAACGCCGCGUGAGUGAUGAAGGUCUUCGGAUCGUAAAACUCUGUUAUUAGGGAAGAACAAAUGUGUAAGUAACUAUGCACGUCUUGACGGUACCUAAUCAGAAAGCCACGGCUAACUACGUG
rnacentral:rRNA from 1 species